rnacentral:tRNA from 1 species
GGGGAUGUAGCUCAGAGGUAGGGCAUUCGCCUAGCAUGUGUGCAAUGAGCUGGGUUUUAAUCCCAGCAUCACCA